AGAGUUUGAUCCUGGCUCAGAGUGAACGCUGGCGGCGUGCCUAAUACAUGCAAGUCGAACGAUGAAGUCCUAGCUUGCUAGGAUGGAUUAGUGGCGCACGGGUGAGUAAUAUAUAGUUAAUCUGCCCUACACAGAGGAACAACAGUUGGAAACGACUGCUAAUACCUCAUACUCCUAUUUGGCAUAAGUUAAAUAGGGAAAGUCUUUUCGGUGUAGGAUGAGACUAUAUCGUAUCAGCUAGUUGGUAAGGUAAUGGCUUACCAAGGCUAUGACGCGUAACUGGUCUGAGAGGAUGAUCAGUCACAUUGGAACUGAGACACGGUCCAAACUCCUACGGGAGGCAGCAGUAAGGAAUAUUGCGCAAUGGGGGAAACCCUGACGCAGCAACGCCGCGUGGAGGAUGACACUUUUCGGAGCGUAAACUCCUUUUAUCAGGAAAGAAUAAUGACGGUACCUGAUGAAUAAGCACCGGCUAACUCCGUGCCAGCAGCCGCGGUAAUACGGGGGGUGCAAGCGUUACUCGGAAUCACUGGGCGUAAAGGACGCGUAGGCGGAUUAUCAAGUCUUUUGUGAAAUCUAGUGGCUUAACCACUAAACUGCUUAGGAAACUGAUAGUCUAGAGUAGGGGAGAGGUAGAUGGAAUUCUUGGUGUAGGGGUAAAAUCCGUAGAGAUCAAGAAGAAUACCCAUUGCGAAAGCGAUCUGCUGGAACCUAACUGACGCUGAGGCGUGAAAGCGUGGGUAGCAAACAGGAUUAGAUACCCUGGUAGUCCACGCCCUAAACGAUGUAUACUAGUUGUUGCUUUGCUAGUCAAGGCAGUAAUGCAGCUAACGCAUUAAGUAUACCGCCUGGGGAGUACGGUCGCAAGAUUAAAACUCAAAGGAAUAGACGGGGACCCGCACAAGCGGUGGAGCAUGU
rnacentral:rRNA from 1 species